UACGUAGGUGGCAAGCGUUGUCCGGAUUUACUGGGCGUAAAGGGAGCGUAGGUGGACAUUUAAGUGGGAUGUGAAAUACUCGGGCUUAACCUGAGUGCUGCAUUCCAAACUGAAUAUCUAGAGUGCAGGAGAGGAAAGUAGAAUUCCUAGUGUAGCGGUGAAAUGCGUAGAGAUUAGGAAGAAUACCAGUGGCGAAGGCGACUUUCUGGACUGUAACUGACACUGAGGCUCGAAAGCGUGGGGAGCAACCAGG
rnacentral:rRNA from 1 species